CAGCCGCCGCGGUAAUACGAAGGGGGCUAGCGUUGUUCGGAUUUACUGGGCGUAAAGGGCGCGUAGGCGGACUGAUAAGUCAGGGGUGAAAUCCCAAGGCUCAACCUUGGAACUGCCUUUGAUACUGUUUGUCUUGAGUUCGGGAGAGGUAAGUGGAACUGCGAGUGUAGAGGUGAAAUUCGUAGAUAUUCGCAAGAACACCAGUGGCGAAGGCGGCUUACUGGCUCGAUACUGACGCUGAGGCGCGAAAGCGUGGGGAGCAAACAGGAUUAGAUACCCCGGUAGUCCCUGUCUCUUAUAC
rnacentral:rRNA from 1 species